GUCCUGGUGGUGUUUCUGUCUCUCUGGAGCUCAGGCCUCUGUGCUGAAGACGAACACGUUUCAACAGCAGUCACUGAUGAUGUCAGGUUGGUGGGAGGAGCGAGCUCGUGUGCCGGCAGACUGGAG